UACGUAGGGGGCAAGCGUUAUCCGGAAUUACUGGGUGUAAAGGGAGCGCAGACGGCUCUAUAAGUCUGAAGUGAAAACCUUAGGCUUAACCAAAGGCAUGCUUUGGAAACUAUAGAGCUUGAGUACCGGAGGGGUAAGCGGAAUUCCUGGUGUAGCGGUGAAAUGCGUAGAUAUCAGGAAGAACACCGGUGGCGAAGGCGGCUUACUGGACGGUAACUGACGUUGAGGCUCGAAAGCGUGGGGAGCAAAC
rnacentral:rRNA from 1 species